GACGAACGCUGGCGGCGUGCCUAAUACAUGCAAGUAGAACGCUGAAGGAGGAGCUUGCUUCUCUGGAUGAGUUGCGAACGGGUGAGUAACGCGUAGGUAACCUGCCUGGUAGCGGGGGAUAACUAUUGGAAACGAUAGCUAAUACCGCAUAACAGUAGAUAUCGCAUGAUAUCUACUUGAAAGGUGCAAUUGCAUCACUACCAGAUGGACCUGCGUUGUAUUAGCUAGUUGGUGAGGUAACGGCUCACCAAGGCGACGAUACAUAGCCGACCUGAGAGGGUGGUCGGCCACACUGGGACUGGGACACGGCCCAGACUCCUACGGGAGGCAGCAGUAGGGAAUCUUCGGCAAUGGACGGAAGUCUGACCGAGCAACGCCGCGUGAGUGAAGAAGGUUUUCGGAUCGUAAAGCUCUGUUGUAAGAGAAGAACGAGUGUGAGAGUGGAAAGUUCACACUGUGACGGUAUCUUACCAGAAAGGGACGGCUAACUACGUG
rnacentral:rRNA from 1 species